GUUACAAUAUAUAAACGUAUAGAGAGAGACCUUCUAAAAAACGUUAAAAUGUAGUAUUGGCACGUGAAACCUUAAAUUAAAGUGAAUAAAUGAAGACUCGGCACACCAAUUCUAAAAGGUUGUCGACCCCUGAUGUAGCGCUUGAUAGGAAAUGAGAGAUGAUAAAUAGGUUGGUGAUUGACUGUGAAGGUACUUGAAAGUGAAUACAAGCAUUUUGUGUUUGACAUGAGAGAGAGAAGAAGGAGCUUGUGGAAGGAUUCAAAAAGAGGGGUGACAAGAUAAAAGCAAUGAGCUAAGAAAGUGAAUACAAGCAGUUUCUGUUUGAUGUGAGAGAGAAGGAGGUGCCUGGGGAGGCAUUCAAAGUGAGGAGUGACAAUGUCAAAGCAACAAGCUAAGAAAGUUAUCUUUGCACCAGCAUUCUGAAUGGAUAUGCACAGGGCAAGACUGCAAGGCCAAAGAGAACAAUAUUGUAGUAGCUGAUAUAUGAAAUGAUGAGAGUUUGAAUGAGAAUUUUAGUUGUACAAAUGGUUAAGAAAGGCCACAUCUUAGAUGUUAUAAAGAAAGAAUUGGCAAGAUUUACGUAUAAAAUGAGGAGCUAUAGAGAGGUCCAAAUUGCAGAUGACACCUUGUAUCAAUAUUUGUCUGGAGAAAGGGAAAUGAGCAGUUUCAAUAAGAACAGUUGUCAAAAUUAGUAGAUUACAGUUUUGCUAGUUUAUUUUCUGAUUAUUAAUAUUCUAAGACUAUUGGCUAGCCACAUACUUACCCUGGUUAAACUUAAUGCACUAUUACCACAUCCAACUAUUCAUUUGGAAGUAACUUAUAUUUCAUUUAUUUUCUGAAACUUUUCAUCACAUAUGCACUAUAUACUAUACUGUACUGAAACGAAGAUCCCAUUUGUUCCUUAGCUGAACAUGCAACAGUCAGACACUAGAUGGUGCCAAGAGACCAUCUGGAAAAGACAAAAUGAAAUCUGAGUGCAGGAACUCCUAAUCAAGAUUAGAAAGGGUCUGAGAAACAAACAAUCACAAAGGGCCCAAUUCUGAUUUCAUCAGGAUUAUUCACAGAGUAAGAUAUACAAAUGUUUUAUUUAUUAAAGUAUUUGGGACCAACCAACAAAAUUUCCCUUAGAGGAAUGAGAGAACAAGUUGCAU